UACGUAGGGUGCAAGCGUUGCCCGGAUUUAUUGGGCGUAAAGGGCGCGUAGGCGGCUCGGCACGUCCGUUGUGAAAUCGCCCGGCUCAACUGGGCGGGGUCAGCGGAUACGGCCGAGCUUGAGCAAGCUAGGGGGCAAUGGAAUUCCCGGUGUAGUGGUGAAAUGCGUAGAUAUCGGGAGGAACACCAGUGGCGAAGGCGGCUUCCUGGCCUGUUCUUGACGCUGAGGCGCGAAAGCUAGGGGAGCAAACGGG
rnacentral:rRNA from 1 species